CCUAGCCCCGUUUCCCCUCGAUCCCCACAGCCCCCGCCUCCUCCAUCCCUCCUCCUCACCUCGCCAUGGCCUCCGCCCCGGAGCCUCGCCGCCGCCUGCGAUUCCUCCCUCCUGCCCGCAGAGCCCAUUGGGCUCGCCAACCCUAGCCCCAAUCCACAUCCCCCGCGCCCCUCACUGGUCCCUCCUCCUCCUUCCCUCGUCUGCCGCCUCGCUCCCUCGCUCUCCUCCCUCGUCGCCGUGGCCUUUGGCCUAGGAGCCCCGCCGCCUACAGCUCCUCCUCCACCACCUCGCCUCUUUCUCCUCCUCGCCUUCCCAUCGCUCGCGCGCAGGUCACCACUGUCGGAGAACACGGGAGUGCGGGUCUUCAAGUUGGGGUGGUCAGGAGGGCUUCCCGACCUGACGGCGCCUCCUCCUCCUCGCAGCGUCGUCGCGCGUACACCUUCUUCUCCUCCCUCCUCCCUCCCUCGUCACUACUUCCACCAGUCCCCUCCCUUCCUCGUCCGUGGCCGCUGCUGACCCCUCCUCCGGCCUCCGCGUCUCUGCCCAGGCGGCAAGGCCCCCAGCCCCCCUCGGGCCUCGGCCCCUCCAUACAGCCCGCUUCUGCCUCGUCCAACUCGCUGCUUAGCUCCCAAGGCUCGGAGGGCAGCGGGCGCGGCAGGCUCGGCAGGCAGCGGGCGCGGUGGUCAAGGCCAGGGGCGCGGAUUGGGGAGAUGCGCACACGAGGAGCGACGGCGACCGCGUCUGCCGCCAACACCGAGAUCAGCUCUUCGUUCUUUCAAGCCCUAUGUUGCUUACUCAAAUGCUUGUGGCGAUUGUAUCCUUGUGCCAUGAAUAUUUGUACUUAGCAGAUCAAUAUAAACAUAUUGGCUAUCUAUUUACCAAUUCAGAAUUUAAAGCACUUUAUUUUAUGGCCUUGAGUAAAAGUUCAGUCGUUGUUGGCUGGAAGACAUCUUCAAUACGCCGUCUACACGAGCUUCCCAAGGUAAUGAUCUAAGAGGAAGUGAGUUGGAGAUGAGAUGGGGACAGAAGAUCCUGCAGUGAUGUUGUUUCUUUGUUCUCCUGCUCAAGCUCAGGUGGAUGAGCCCCGUCCUGUGUUAUUCCCCUUGGUUUCUGAAGCUCCCAGGAUUUAAUAAUGAGUUGUCUUGGGCUUCAUUGGACAAAUGAUCUACCUUGAGCAAUGAUACAUGUUGGCGUUGAAGCAUGAUGGCGUUUUUCUUGCAGCAAAUCUUGGCGGGAAGACUCUGAAGAGUUGAUGUAGAUCGCUGUACAGUCAAGUACAAUACUGGCGUGUAUAAAAAAACUUGAAUUUUCCUGGGAUUGAACUUUGAACUAAUAAAUCUAGACUAUGGAGGUAAUGUGCUUUGCAUUAUUAUAGAUCGUAUAUGUUGCUCUUACUUAAUUAUACUUUCUAAUUACAUGCUGCCCCUGUUUCUUUUGCUGUGCUAAAAAUGGGUGCUUACUUUCAAUCUUAUCGCAUCAAUAGACUUGCGAGCGUAUAGUAUUUCUGUAAUCUCUGUGCCUUACCGGUUUUGUGAUUUCAGCUCAGGUGGAUGAUCCCCGUCCUGUGUUAUUCCCCUUGGUUUCUGAAGCUCCCAGGAUUUAAUAAUGAGGUGUCUUGGGCUUCAUUGGACAGAUGAUCUACCUCGAGCAAUGAUACAGGUUGGCGUUGAAGCAUGAUGGCGUUUUUCUUGCAGCAAAUCUUGGCAGGAAGACUCUGAAGUGAUAAUCUUAAAUUUGCCAUUUACCGACAUUUUCCAGUUUCUUGUUUGACUUGCCUUUUCUUGGAUGCGAUGAUAAGGGAACUAAGAAUUGCGUGCACUAUUGCUCAAAUGGAACAUAAGGGAGGUAUCAGUCCUCAAAUGUUGCCUCUAGAACAAGUAUGAUUCCUUUAUAAUCUGAGAUUUUGCCCUUCCAGGAGUUGAUGUAGAUCGAUAUGCAGUCAAGUACAAUACUGGCGUGUAUAAAAAAACUUGAAUUUUCCUGAGAUUGAACUUUGAACUAAUAAAUCUAGACUAUGGAGAAGUAACGCUCAAAAGCCUGAAUAGAAUUCCUUGGGAAAGGGUAGAUGUUAGCUUCAAGAGAAGUAGACAAUGGAUUUUUGCCCAUAGCACCAUUCAGCCCUACCGCUCCUGAGCCCAAAUCCCAUGACCAUGCCCCCACCUCUCCUUUGUGGAAUGAAGGGAGUCUAGUUGCUAAAAACAGCUUUUCUAGCAAUAGCCAAAUAGUGUGACAUAACACUAUUCCAUUUUCACAGGCCAUAACACAUCUUUACAGAGUGAGCUACCAUCACUUCUCAUUACUGACUGUAAUCAAUAUAUAUGUGUUUAUGCCAUAAAAGAUGGAUAUUUGUCGAAGCCAUUGUCGUGUCAUGUAAUUACCUGGAGAUCAGCUAUAUAGUUUUGUUCGGAUUAUAUAGUGGAAACGACAACUCCCGUGUGAUUGUCAUUUGAUUAUUUACUUCCUCAAGUAGUAUGGAUAUGGUGCUGCCAGGAUAUUAAGUAUAUUCAUGAAGUUGUAUAAACCACGUUCUACGAUUAACUUCUGUUAUGCAUAUUUACUUUCCAGUUUUAGGACUGAAAUCCAUCCAUUGUAAUGAACUUGGUUGUAUGGGCAUUACCUAUUUGACUUACGCUUGCUUCAUCACA